rnacentral:lncRNA from 1 species
UUCAUAACAAAUGUAAAAUGUGUAUUUCUUUCCUCCCGCAAAAGAUUCCUAACUGUUGGGCUGUUGGCUCACCUUCUUGAGAAUGCUUUUAAAAUUUAGUGAUAUUUUGUCCCUUGGGAACUUGCAAGUUUGAAACUUUUAUUAGGAUUAGUUUUACAGAUUCGGUAUAUCUCGUGUUUAUUUCCUUGUUUAGUCGGUAUUAAAAGUAUAGUUCAAGUAGUUUAACAAAAAGUAUAGCUCAAGUGGAAAUAGGUACUCGCGUUUGUCUUUAGUAACAGAAUUUCAUACUUAGUAAAUAGGGGAUUAUCCUCGUUCUUCAUCAUGUUGUGAGAAGCAUUGGAGUACAUACUGUAUUCAUUCUAAAGAAAUAAAAAAUUAGUGACAUGGUAGUGUGAGAUGUUAGUGGAAAUGUACGUGAUCCAUUUGAGGAUGGUGGUGAUCGACGUUUGGAAUGGGCAGGGUUGUUUCUUGGUAUAUGAAGUAAGCACCUGAAUAAAGUGUAACGCU